rnacentral:rRNA from 1 species
GAUGAACGCUAGCGGCAGGCUUAACACAUGCAAGUCGAGGGGUAACAGGGUUUUCGGACUGCUGACGACCGGCGCACGGGUGCGUAACGCGUAUACAAUCUACCUUACACUGAGGGAUAGCCCAGAGAAAUUUGGAUUAAUACCUCAUAGUAUUUAUGAUUCACCUGGAUUAUAAAUUAAAGGUUACGGUGUAAGAUGAGUAUGCGUUCUAUUAGCUAGAUGGUAAGGUAACGGCUUACCAUGGCAACGAUAGAUAGGGGUCCUGAGAGGGAGAUCCCCCACACUGGUACUGAGACACGGACCAGACUCCUACGGGAGGCAGCAGUGAGGAAUAUUGGACAAUGGAGGCAACUCUGAUCCAGCCAUGCCGCGUGUAGGAUGACUGCCCUAUGGGUUGUAAACUACUUUUAUAUAGGAAGAAACCAUGCUACGCGUAGCAUAUUGACGGUACUAUAAGAAUAAGGAUCGGCUAACUCCG